UAACGGCUCACCAUGGCAAUGAUACGUAGCCGACCUGAGAGGGUAAUCGGCCACAUUGGGACUGAGACACGGCCCAAACUCCUACGGGAGGCAGCAGUAGGGAAUCUUCCACAAUGGACGAAAGUCUGAUGGAGCAACGCCGCGUGAGUGAAGAAGGGUUUCGGCUCGUAAAACUCUGUUGUUAAAGAAGAACAUAUCUGAGAGUAACUGUUCAGGUAUUGACGGUAUUUAACCAGAAAGCCACGGCUAACUACGUGCCAGCAGCCGCGGUAAUACGUAGGUGGCAAGCGUUGUCCGGAUUUAUUGGGCGUAAAGCGAGCGCAGGCGGUUUUUUAAGUCUGAUGUGAAAGCCUUCGGCUCAACCGAAGAAGUGCAUCGGAAACUGGGAAACUUGAGUGCAGAAGAGGACAGUGGAACUCCAUGUGUAGCGGUGAAAUGCGUAGAUAUAUGGAAGAACACCAGUGGCGAAGGCGGCUGUCUGGUCUGUAACUGACGCUGAGGCUCGAAAGUAUGGGUAGCAAACAGGAUUAGAUACCCUGGUAGUCCAUACCGUAAACGAUGAAUGCUAAGUGUUGGAGGGUUUCCGCCCUUCAGUGCUGCAGCUAACGCAUUAAGCAUUCCGCCUGGGGAGUACGGCCGCAAGGCUGAAACUCAAAGGAAUUGACGGGGGCCCGCACAAGCGGUGGAGCAUGUGGUUUAAUUCGAAGCUACGCGAAGAACCUUACCAGGUCUUGACAUACUAUGCAAAUCUAAGAGAUUAGACGUUCCCUUCGGGGACAUGGAUACAGGUGGUGCAUGGUUGUCGUCAGCUCGUGUCGUGAGAUGUUGGGUUAAGUCCCGCAACGAGCGCAACCCUUAUUAUCAGUUGCCAGCAUUAAGUUGGGCACUCUGGUGAGACUGCCGGUGACAAACCGGAGGAAGGUGGGGAUGACGUCAAAUCAUCAUGCCCCUUAUGACCUGGGCUACACACGUGCUACAAUGGAUGGUACAACGAGUUGCGAACUCGCGAGAGUAAGCUAAUCUCUUAAAGCCAUUCUCAGUUCGGAUUGUAGGCUGCAACUCGCCUACAUGAAGUCGGAAUCGCUAGUAAUCGCGGAUCAGCAUGCCGCGGUGAAUACGUUCCCGGGCCUUGUACACACCGCCCGUCACACCAUGAGAGUUUGUAACACCCAAAGUCGGUGGGGUAACCUUUUAGGAACCAGCCGCCUAAGGUGGGACAGAUGAUUAGGGUGAAGUCGUAACAAGGUAGCCGUAGGAGAACCUGCGGCUG
rnacentral:rRNA from 1 species